rnacentral:rRNA from 1 species
AACGAACGCUGGUGGCAGGCUCAACACAUGCAAGUCGAGCGCCCCGCACGGGGCGCGGCAGACGGGUGAGUAACGCGUGGGAACGUACCAUUUGCUACGGAAUAACUCAGGGAAGCUUGUGCUAAUACCGUAUGUGCCCUUCGGGGGAAAUAUUUAUCGGCAAAUGAUCGGCCCGCGUUGGAUUAGCCAGUUGGUGGGGUAAAGGCCUACCAAGGCGACGAUCCAUAGCUGGUCUAAGAGGAUGAACAGCCACACAGGGACUGAGACACUGCCCAGACUCCUACGGGAGGCAGCAGAGGGGAAUAUUGGACAAUGGGCUCAAGACUGUUCCAGCCAUGCCGCGUGAGUGAUGAAGGCCUUAGGGUUGUAAAGCUCUUUUGUCCGGGAAGAUAAUGACUGAACCGGAAGAAUAAGCCCCGGCUAACUUCGUGCCAGCCGCCGCGGUAAUAC